UACGGAGGGUGCGAGCGUUGUCCGGAAUCACUGGGCGUAAAGGGCGCGUAGGCGGCGCGAGUAGUCAACGGUGAAAGCCCGGGGCUCAACCCCGGGUCGGCCGUCGAUACUCUCGUGCUUGAGCACUGUAGAGGCAGGUGGAAUUCCGGGUGUAGCGGUGGAAUGCGUAGAGAUCCGGAAGAACACCGGUGGCGAAGGCGGCCUGCUGGGCAGUAGCUGACGCUGAGGCGCGACAGCGUGAGGAGCAAACAGG
rnacentral:rRNA from 1 species